CAGUAGCCGCGUUAAUACAGAGGGUGCAAGCGUUAAUCGGAAUUACUGGGCGUAAAGCGCGCGUAGGUGGUUUGUUAAGUUGGAUGUGAAAUCCCCGGGCUCAACCUGGGAACUGCAUUUGUGACUGGCAAGCUAGAGUCUGGCAGAGGGGGGUGGAAUUCCGCGUGUAGCAGUGAAAUGCGUAGAUAUGCGGAGGAACACCGAUGGCGAAGGCAGCCCCCUGGGCCAACACUGACGCUCAUGCACGAAAGCGUGGGGAGCAAACAGGAUUAGAUACCCGGGUAGUCCCUGUCUCUUAUAC
rnacentral:rRNA from 1 species